rnacentral:rRNA from 1 species
UACGUAGGUGACCAGCGUUGUCCGGAUUUACUGGGCGUAAAGAGCGCGCAGGCGGUCGUUUCAAGUCGAGUGUGAAAGCCCCCGGCUCAACUGGGGAGGGUCAUUCGAUACUGAUCGACUCGAAGGCAGGAGAGGGAAGUGGAAUUCCCGGUGUAGUGGUGAAAUGCGUAGAUAUCAUUUGGAACGCCAAAGGUGAAAACAGGCUGCUGGGAGUGAUCUGACACUGAGACGCGAAAGCCAGGGGAGCAAACGGGG